GGAGAGGUGGCCGAGUGGUUGAAGGCGCUAGUCUCGAAAACUAGUAUGCGCGCAAGUGUAUCGAGGGUUCGAAUCCCUCCCUCUCCG
rnacentral:tRNA from 1 species